rnacentral:lncRNA from 1 species
UGUGCUCUAUCCUCAGAUAGAAUGGCUUAUCGUUGACAAUUUUGGGAAAUAAAUUGGGGAUGCUUACGUCAGUUCUGCCUCUCUUCCUCCUAAGAGUGGACACCUGUUGGGGAGCAGCCAUUCACCUGUGUUUGCCCAUGAUCCUCCUAGCUCUCAGGAGAAAUGGUCUGUUCUGAUUCAACAUUGCCAAGUGGAUAAGAGAGAGACACAGCGAGAGAGGGAACACAAGCAGUGGAAGAGGGAGAAGCAGGCUUCUUGCAGAGCAGGGAGCCCAAUGUGGGGCCCGAUCCCAGGACUCUGGGAUCAUGACCUGAGCCGAAGGCAGACACUUAACGACUGA